rnacentral:lncRNA from 1 species
GAAGAUAUCUACAAAGGCCUUCCUGAUUUACUAGAUGAAAGUGGUGGCGAUGAGGAUGAAGAGUUAUAUGAUUGUGUCUAUGGAGAAGAUGAAGGUGGGGAAGUAUAUGAAGACUUAAUGAAAGAUGAAGCAGCACAUCAACCUAAAUGUACUGAAAAUGACAUAAGAAGCUGUUGCCUUACUGAAAUAAAACAGACUGAAGAGAAAUACACUGAGACUUUGGAGUCAAUAGAGAAAGU